AAAGAGAGUCCUGAAGUCAGUUGUGUUGUCUCAUUUUAGAAUACCCUGUAAAGAGCACGCUGGCUGUACUUGUGUCUGAUUUUCCCCCUGAAUUUAAUGGCACAGAAUUCUGCAUUAAUCUUGACCUGUUGUUGUAUGACUGAGAGCGGUUAUAAUUUAAAAUUUUGUUUAGAUUGCAGGUGAGAAGAAGUCAGCCCAGUGGCGAACAGUGGAGGGUGCGUUGAAGGAGCGAAGAAAGGCAGUUGACGAAGCUGCUGAUGCCCUUCUCAAAGCCAAAGAAGAGUUAGAGAAGAUGAAAACUAUAAUUGAAGAUGCAAA
rnacentral:lncRNA from 1 species